rnacentral:rRNA from 1 species
GACGAACGCUGGCGGCGUGCUUAACACAUGCAAGUCGAGCGGUAAGGCCCUUUCGGGGGUACACGAGCGGCGAACGGGUGAGUAACACGUGGGUGACCUGCCCUUAGCUCUGGGAUAAGCCUGGGAAACUGGGUCUAAUACCGGAUAUGACUCCAUGACGCAUGUUGUGGGGUGGAAAGCCCUGUGCGGCUAGGGAUGGGCCCGCGGCCUAUCAGCUUGUUGGUGGGGUGAUGGCCUACCAAGGCGACGACGGGUAGCCGGCCUGAGAGGCGACCGGCCACACUGGGACUGAGACACGGCCCAGACUCCUACGGGAGGCAGCAGUGGGGAAUCUUGCGCAAUGGGCGAAAGCCUGACGCAGCGACGCCGCGUGAGGGAUGACGGCCU